rnacentral:rRNA from 1 species
CACGUAGGGACCAAGCGUUGUCCGGAUUCAUUGGGCGUAAAGAGCUCGUAGGCGGUUCGAUAAGUCGGGUGUGAAACCUCCAGGCUCAACCUGGAGACGCCACCCGAUACUGUCGUGACUAGAGUCCAGUAGGGGAGCGUGGAAUUCCUGGUGUAGCGGUGAAAUGCGCAGAUAUCAGGAGGAACACCAGCGGCGAAGGCGGCGCUCUGGGCUGGAACUGACGCUGAGGCGCGAAAGCUAGGGGAGCAAACAGG